GAUCCAUCCCCGGGGAGCGUGCUUGCGCUGAGAGGAAGGUAUCGCACCCUUCGACCCGUAGAACCUGAACCGAUUAGCAUCGGCGGAGGGAGUGGUCUGGUUCCCGAA
rnacentral:ncRNA from 2 species